rnacentral:rRNA from 1 species
AGAGUGAACGCUGGCGGUAGGCCUAACACAUGCAAGUCGAACGGCAGCACAGUGGUAGCAAUACCAUGGGUGGCGAGUGGCGGACGGGUGAGGAAUACAUCGGAAUCUACCUUUUCGUGGGGGAUAACGUAGGGAAACUUACGCUAAUACCGCAUACGCCCUUCGGGGGAAAGCCGGGGAUCGCAAGACCUGGCG